AGCGGUAAGGCCUAGUGGAUAAAGCACUGGACUGGGACUCCGGAAACCUGAGUUCUGUUCCUAGCUCUGCUC
rnacentral:tRNA from 1 species